GGCUCGUGUCGUGAGAUGUUGGGUUAAGUCCCGCAACGAGCGCAACCCUUGUCUUUAAUUGCCAUCAUUGAGUUGGGCACUUUAAAGAGACUGCCGGUGUUAAACCGGAGGAAGGUGGGGAUGACGUCAGGUCCUCAUGGCCUUUAUGCCCAGGGCUACACACGUGCUACAAUGGGUGGUACAAAGAGCAGCCAGCUCGCGAGAGUGAGCAAAUCUCAAAAAGCCAUCCUCAGUUCGGAUUGAAGUCUGCAACUCGACUUCAUGAAGCUGGAAUCGCUAGUAAUCGCGGAUCAGCAUGCCCGCGGUCGAAUACGUUCCCGGGCCUU
rnacentral:rRNA from 1 species